AUGGAAUCCACUGAGAGACAUGUUGCUAGGUCACAGGUGGAUCAGAAUAAUCUCUCAGGAGACUACUGGUCAUUUCCAGACAGUCACCUCUGUUUCUUCAGGCUGGUGCCAACAAACAAAAAAAGUGAGGGAGCCAUGCUAAAUUACAAGCACACAAGCUUAACGCUUUCAAUAAUGGUUUUCAUACUUCUUCUGGUUACACAGUGGUCCCCUGGAUGGGCAAUAUUUUCAAGGUAUUCUGUGCAACCCAGCUCACGUGGUGUGUGGACCUUCUGUUUCGAUGGGAAGUGCAGUUUCUUGAGUAGCAGAGAAGUAAGUUUGGUGAUCAUCCGGGGAUUCAUGCUUAUUGCUAUCUGUUCCUGUUACUUGGCCAUAUUGUGCUCAAUUGAUUGGACCAAUUACCUUGAGAGUUCCAAGGUCAUCAUCCUGGAAGGUCCCGUUGCUGCUGUGUUCACCUUUUUCACAUUUUUCUCUAUGCUGGGAGCUUUGUUGGUAUUUCACUUUACACCUUACCUGCCAUUGGAAAAAGAGGCGGAGAAGCUUUCUGAAAGAAAGAUGUUUUUCCUCACUUGUAUCAACUGUGGUCUGUGCUUUUUGACAGGACUAUUCAAGUUGGCUAUAUAUGGGUUCAGGCUCCAGAGAAGGAUACGUCACCGGAAAAGGAUGUUUCCUGUAUAACAAACCCACAUGCUUCAAUUCCUUGUAUAUUUAUACAUUUAAAAACAUAAUAUUAUAUAUUAUAUUUAUUGUAUAGAUUUAUGUAGGGAAUCCAAUGAUUUCCCCUUUUCUCCCACUUACUUUUUAUUAUUAUUAAAUGAUCCAUUUAUCUGAAAGAUUGAUGUGUCAGCCUUUCAUUCAGAUGUUUGUUCAGGAAACAUUUACCUGACGAGAAUACCGGACAGCUCUGCAGUCAUCUCUUGUUCACGGGGAAAGCACCAUGCAAAGGGUGAAAAGGGGUUCCUGCUGCCACUUCCAGCCAUCCUGAGAAUGGACAGUUAGGGGUCUCAGAAGAAAUGUCUGACGUGUACAGAAAGUGCACCACUAGUGCAUCAGUUGACAAAAAUGGAUGUCACCUUGAGAUAGGUGGGUCUUCUCCAGAACUUGUGCAAGUAGCUUUUUGGACUAUUGUGGCAAUCUCCCUUGUCACUCAUUCUAUUCAUAUUCAUGAGCUGAUUUGCAUGAACCUAUGAGAGGACUGGAAAGGCAGAGUCAGCAGCUACAUGAGGCUUGGCGGGAGAAGGAGGAGUCAGAUAGCGAUUGGUUAGUCAGAGAGAGAGGGAACAGAUACUGAGAGAGAUUGAGCUGGUUAGGAAAAUAGCUAGAAAAGGUGGUAAUGAUCUAGCAAGAGAAAAGAAGUAUAUACUGAGAGAACUGUUGAUGUAUAAUGUUUGUAUUAUGUAUAAUGUUAUGUAUAUGCAUAAUAUAUAUAAUGUUUAUCUGAGAAACCUGUUACAGUAUUAUUCAAUCUGCUUCAUUUCAAUAAAUAAGUUCUGUUUCUGUUCA
rnacentral:lncRNA from 1 species